GCUGGUAUGGCUGGUAUAGCCGCGAACCCUGCUCUGGUAUCGGCUCUACAACAAUCCUUUGCUUAUCAGACACAAGCACUUACGGGCCCAGUUGUGGAACAAAGAGAUGAGGAUGAGUGUUUGACCUGUAAUCUGAUCCAGAUGGGGUCUAGUAUGGCAUAUGGAGACAAUAGUUGUCCUCAAUGCGGGAGAAGAUGUUAUUGAACCACUCUAGUCUAGAGGCAUCAGGGUUGAUGGAGACUUGGCACAUUCUCACCUGUAGACGAGGGGGCGCAUGGCACAAAGUCUCCUAGAUGAGGGGGAUACAACCCCCCCUUUAAACUGAUUAAACCCUUUAAAGUUACAUUACAGAGAAUGUUGACUGCGAAGUGAUAAAAAGUUUUUAAACAUUAGUUAAACCCCUACCAAGUGUUUUAUAUAAGAUUUACACAGACUGGACUACUAAGUUUGGUUAGAGUUACGCAAUUUUUAUUCAUAAAAACUGUUUUGCGUUCACAUCUUAUCAUAACGACCGUCGACCGUUCUCUAGGAAAUUACCGAAAUCAUUAAAUCACUUUGAUUUUGGAAGAAACCAAAUUUUAGCAAGAAAAUAAAUAUUUUUCAUUCGCCAUUGAUCAGACUUAGGGUCAAAUGGUAACGUCUAGAAGCGGACAUGCCAUUUUAAAAAUUAAAAGUUUCUCGAAAUUAUUUUAAAAAUUAUUUAUGAAUGAGAACACUUUAAGUUGCAUAAAAUGGAAACACAACUGCAUGAACUUGUAUCCAAUCUGUUUAAUCUGUGGACAAUAUAUACCAUGAACCACUAUUUGUGUGUUUACAUUUAAAGUGUACUGCAUUUUUGGGGAGAAGUGUAAACAAAGAAAGUAGUGAACACUUUUGAAUGAAAAAAAAACUUUAGUCGGUUUUAACCAGAAUGAAUAUUUAUUUUUGUUUUAAAGAUUUAUACCUUUCAAUAUAAGCUGCAUUGGCAAUUAUAAAAAUUUCCUUAGACAAAAAAUGGUAAAGUUUUAAAACCCUUGCUCUACCUAAAUAAAUAUUAGAUAAAAAUGUAUCGGCAAUAAUCAAUUUUUUAUUGAUAACCAAAAGGGUCAUUUCAAGUUGUAACCCUUUAAACCUUUAUCUGCAAUAUAACCCGCAAGUCACUUUGUUAGAGAACCGGCUGCAAUUGAAAAUGAUGAAUUUUCAAAUAUUAAAACAUGAAUAUUUCAUUCAUUGAUCUGACUAAGGUUUAAAGGGUACCGUAUUUUUGUGGGUAAUCCACCUCCUCCUAAAAAAAAUAUUAUCUGAAAAACGACCCUAAUAAUGCAAACUUUAAAAAAUGGAGAAAUAUAUAUUUGUAUUUGUAAAUAUAUAUAUUAUAUCUAUAUGUUUUGUGUUUUAUAAUAUUGUUGAAAAACUUGAAUUAGAUUUCUAACUUUAGACACUUUUUAAUGUUUUGUAGCUUAACUUUUAUCCCUUUAUAACGUACUGUAUUUCAACGUUUUAUAUGUACAAUCUAAAUAAUUCUCAUGUAAAGAGCUUGAAAUUUAAGAAAGUAUUAAAGUACAACUUAAGAUUCUAUAAUUUGCCAUCUACCAUUUAAUAUUGGUUAACCCUAAAACGUCUUGGAGGGGGGAGGGGGGCGUUUGGUUCCCAACUUUUCUAGUGUUGUUCCUCAUUUUUGAAACGAUAAAAUUAAAAUUUCCCAACUUAAACAGUGAUUACCAGAAAACUGUAGAAUAGAAAGACGACAUUAGAGCAAU
rnacentral:lncRNA from 1 species